AGAGUUUGAUCCUGGCUCAGGACGAACGCUGGCGGCGCGCCUAACACAUGCAAGUCGAACGAGCGAGAGAGAGCUUGCUUUCUCAAGCGAGUGGCGAACGGGUGAGUAACGCGUGAGGAACCUGCCUCAAAGAGGGGGACAACAGUUGGAAACGACUGCUAAUACCGCAUAAGCCCACAGCUCGGCAUCGAGCAGAGGGAAAAGGAGCAAUCCGCUUUGAGAUGGCCUCGCGUCCGAUUAGCUGGUUGGUGAGGUAACGGCCCACCAAGGCGACGAUCGGUAGCCGGACUGAGAGGUUGAACGGCCACAUUGGGACUGAGACACGGCCCAGACUCCUACGGGAGGCAGCAGUGGGGAAUAUUGCACAAUGGGGGAAACCCUGAUGCAGCGACGCCGCGUGGAGGAAGAAGGUCUUCGGAUUGUAAACUCCUGUUGUUGAGGAAGAUAAUUACGGUACUCAACAAGGAAGUGACGGCUAACUACGUGCCAGCAGCCGCGGUAAAACGUAGGUCACAAGCGUUGUCCGGAAUUACUGGGUGUAAAGGGAGCGCAGGCGGGAAGGCAAGUUGGAAGUGAAAUCCAUGGGCUCAACCCAUGAACUGCUUUCAAAACUGUUUUUCUUGAGUAGUGCAGAGGUAGGCGGAAUUCCCGGUGUAGCGGUGGAAUGCGUAGAUAUCGGGAGGAACACCAGUGGCGAAGGCGGCCUACUGGGCACCAACUGACGCUGAGGCUCGAAAGUGUGGGUAGCAAACAGGAUUAGAUACCCUGGUAGUCCACACUGUAAACGAUGAUUACUAGGUGUUGGAGGAUUGACCCCUUCAGUGCCGCAGUUAACACAAUAAGUAAUCCACCUGGGGAGUACGACCGCAAGGUUGAAACUCAAAGGAAUUGACGGGGGCCCGCACAAGCAGUGGAGUAUGUGGUUUAAUUCGACGCAACGCGAAGAACCUUACCAAGUCUUGACAUCCUGCGACGGUGCUGGAAACAGUACUUUCCUUCGGGACGCAGAGACAGGUGGUGCAUGGUUGUCGUCAGCUCGUGUCGUGAGAUGUUGGGUUAAGUCCCGCAACGAGCGCAACCCUUAUGGUCAGUUACUACGCAAGAGGACUCUGGCCAGACUGCCGUCGACAAAACGGAGGAAGGUGGGGAUGACGUCAAAUCAUCAUGCCCUUUAUGACUUGGGCUACACACGUACUACAAUGGCGUUAAACAAAGAGAAGCAAGACCGCGAGGUGGAGCAAAACUCAGAAACAACGUCCCAGUUCGGACUGCAGGCUGCAACUCGCCUGCACGAAGUCGGAAUUGCUAGUAAUCGCAGAUCAGCAUGCUGCGGUGAAUACGUUC
rnacentral:rRNA from 1 species